rnacentral:rRNA from 1 species
UACGUAGGGGGCAAGCGUUAUCCGGAUUUACUGGGUGUAAAGGGUGCGUAGGUGGCAGGGCAAGUCAGAUGUGAAAGCCCGGGGCCCAACCCCGGUACUGCAUUUGAAACUGUCCGGCUGGAGUGCAGGAGAGGUAAGCGGAAUUCCUGGUGUAGCGGUGAAAUGCGUAGAUAUCAGGAGGAACACCGGCGGCGAAGGCGGCUUACUGGACUGUAACUGACGUUGAGGCUCGAAAGCAUGGGUAGCGAACAGG